AUAAACCACGAAAUAAAAUUAAAAUAUCCAACUACCAUUAUCCAUAUAAAAAAACAAAAUAUGAAUACAUUGUUUGAUCAACAAUUCAAAAUUCAAAAUAGAUGAGUUUGCAUACAAAAAUUUCUAAACUAAAAUAUCCUUAAACAUAAUAAUAGAAAGUCUAACAACGAUCAACAACACUCAAGUAAGAUCUUCGUCUCUGCUUUCUUCUGCAAUUGAUACACCUACAAAAGAUAAUGAGAAAUAAUUAAACAAAAUUUUUAGGAAGGAGUCAACCGGACAAGCAUUCAGUGGGUUGAUCAGAAUAUUGUAGCUGAGGGAAAUACUGACAUUUCCCUGCAGCUAAACCAGGUGAUUAUGACAUUUAGCUCAAGGUGGCUACUAGCUCUAACUGUUUUAUUCUUGUAUCCCUUUUAUUUACCAAGUUAAUUAUCCCAAAUUUUAUCGCACCACACAUUUAAUAUUAUGAUGGUGAUUUACUUUAUCCCACUCUAUCACACAACUAUUGCUUCACUCACACAAUUGCCUCCGAUAAAACUAAAUGAAUACCAAAAACUUCACACUAGAACAUAUAGGAGGAGAACUGGUAAUGGUCAAUGUCAAUCACAAUGUUAGAAGAAGUAAAAUUCAACUGUUCAACAAUUCAAAAGCAAUAUAGCAACUGUAGUUUUUUACUUUCUUUAUAUUCACGGCUCAUCUUAUUAAAGACUUCCUUUGAUGAUAAAGGAUCUGAAGCUUCCUUAUCCUUUUCCUAGUUACAUGAAAGUGAGUUAGCCUUCUUAGUGAUCUGCCAUUAACUAAACAAGAGCCAAAAUUGAGAAAGUAUAUGUCAUGAGUUGCUAGUUAUAUACCAACUUAGAGCGAACUAAAGCAAAACUUCUUUUUUUCUAGCAGUGUGAGGAUUCUUCAACUUUUUCGGUUCUCAAUAUUGGUUUUGGACAUUUUCUGCAGGAAGAAAGAAGCACCAAACAAUAGCUUACAAAUAGAACUUGAAAAGUAUAUAAACGGAAGUAAGAACUCUUUCCAAAGCUACAUUUCAGUAAAAUGUAAGAACUCACAGUAAGAAGCUACAUUGUAUAAAGUGUAAGAACUCACAGUAACUCUUUCCAACAGUAAAAUGUAAAAACUCACAUUAAACCUUGUAACACUUUCCAACAGUACUUGCAAAAACAACCAAUGAUAAUUUUAUAAUGCAAAUCAGCAACCAGCCAAGAACAGUGAUUAACAGUUUGCAGCAAUAACACAGAGAAAGAUGAAAAAUUGCAGCAGUAACGCAAAGAAAGAAGAAAAUUGCAGCAGUAAUGCAGAUAAAGAAGAAAAAUUGCAGCAGUAACACAGAGAAAGAAUAAAAAUUGCAGCAGUAACGCAGAUCGAAAGAAGAAAAAUAUAGCAAUGGCCAAUAAGAAGAAGAAGAAGAAGAAAGAAGAAAGAAAUAUACAUUAUCUGGAAUUUUUCAGAGUUCCAAUAUUUAAGGAGUUACCUCUUUUUCUUGUUUGAACAGAAGGUCCUAUAGUUAUACGAGCCAAAGAAAAUCACCAAAUUACUAUUGUUGAUACAUUAUUUAUAACUGAAAUAGGAUGUAAACCUUUUUAGAUAAAAUAUAUAGUUGUUACCUUGUUCUUCACAUUUUUCAUCUGCGAUAGGAGUUGUAGAAUCCAAUUGAACUUGUUUCUCUACUACUUGUGUUGCAUGAGUACUUGAUCUAGUUUGUAUCUGUGUUAUUACUCCUAGAUAUUGUGACAGUAGCAGAUUCUCUUCAGUCAUAUUUGGGCACUCUUUAUUUGAUUGUCUAGCAGGAAUAGUAUAUUUUUUUGGCUAAACGAACACCUUAUUUGGUUUGCCAAAGAUGUCAUAGUUCCAGCUUUUAUGUAUGUUGUGCUUGUCUUUUUUUGGGAUUUUGAUGGUCUUUCUUGACUCAUGAUUAUCAAAAUUUGAAAAAUAAUAAAAUAAAUUAAUAUGAGUACCAAACUGAUAUAAAUGUCAAAUUGAGAAAGAAAAUAAGCAAAAGCUAACUGAUAGGAUUUUUCAUUUAGUGAACGCUAAUAUCUCAUCACAAAAGAAUGGAUGUGAGUAUCAAGUACUAUCAAUGAUUUUCAUUAAUCAAAUACUUGAACCUUGACUUCAACAGUUAAUAGGGGAAAAAAGUGUCCUUUUGAGUAACAUAUCCUGAACUGCUUUAACACAAGCAAGUGCCUUAUGAUGGACUUAAUGGACUUAGACAGUAAACGAUCUUAUGAAAAUCCUAACAACAAGAUUUCUAGGAUGAAGCAAAGUAUAAUGUGUGAUUUCUAAAAUUACAAAUACCAAGCAAAAGAAGUGUCACUUUGUUCGGAUUCAACCUUGGUCAUUUAUUCAUGAUGACAAAGGUUUAACUCAAGAUUCAAGUUCGAGAGCAAUUCUUUCAUAGAAGCAAAGAAGUCUUCUUAAGCAGGGUUCUAUCCAAAUAAAUAUUGUGCAAGAUAACAGACCAUCGACAACAAAUGCUUAAAUCAUACAAGACCCACUAAAGACACUAACACUCACUAACAUUUUUCAUACUUCAGUUAAAGAAGGAAAAAAAUCUAAGAUAUAAUUCUUGCGACAUUAAGCUCUGAAAGCGAUAUUUCAAACCACGUUUUUACCACCAUUGAAUGAAAUAGAUAUUUAGCAUAUCAAAUCAACAGAAAACUAAAGAACAAUAAAGAACACGAAGACAGACCUCCUUCGAGGUAAUGAACUGAUUGAUAGGUGCAGUCGGGAUAUUAGAGCGUGAAUCACAGGAACAAUUUCAAGAAUUGUAUUUCAAACUCUUCACAAUCUGAAUAUGUAUUUCAUGCUUUUAAACCAAUAAUUAGAAACCAAGGCAUCAAAUUAUGUUUACAAUUGUCUUAUACAACGAUAAAGAGCCGAGCGAUACAGAAUAACAAAGAAAACAUCGAGCAUCGAACAUCGAUUGAAAACAUCGAGCGUGGGUUUCUAACACGAAAUAAAACCCGCUAACAAAAUCCCCAAUUUUACAAACAAAAAAUCACAAACAAAUUGGAGCAAAAAAAAUAAUUUUUCAGUAAAACAAAUUACUAAACGUAAGUAAAAUAAUGGGUUUAUGAAGAAUAUUACCAGAGAAGAAAGCAGAUCGAAGAAGCAUCAAACAAUUUCAAUGCUUAGCUAACAACCAUACAAACAUCGAACUAGGAAAAAUACCAACAGCCUACGUCGGAAUGCUUUACAUUAGCCGGAGCAGGGCGUCAUUCGCAGGAAAUUCUCUUCAUUCGCCAGAGCAGGCAAUCGUCGGAUUUUUAAGGUUUAAAAUUGAGAGAGAUUUCGUGGGUUUGAGACUUGGAGAGAGAGGCGUCUC
rnacentral:lncRNA from 1 species